AGGAUGGUCUUGAUCUCGUGACCUCAUCGUCUGUCCACCUUGGCCUCCCAAAGUGCUAGGAUUACAGGAGUGAGCUACCAUGCCCAGCCAAGACUAAGGCUUUUUAAGAGGAACUUGAAUGCUCAGAGAUACAUGUCACCUAUUUGGACUUGGAGAUAUAAUAGGUAUGGAAAGUCAAAUUGUCUUGGGUGCAGAAUGAAGAAGUGUUAUGCCCUACUAAACUUAAAUCUCACUGAGCAAUUUAAUUUUCCUUGCUCCAGUGCAGUUACUGAACUUGACUCUGUAGUAGCUGUUUUGCUCUGCAGGCAAGAGAAUGCAGAGGAAAUCCUUGAAUUUCAACAGCUUCUCCCUGUGAGUGGGCACAAGUGCAACUGAUUAUCCAAAAGUAGUUGCUUAAACUAAUUUAGACUAUUUAGCUAACCUUAAUCCCAAUGCCGAUCUUAUGUUGCUUAGAAAAUUACCUGUUGGUGAUUAUAAUAAAUGGAGGCAAUUAAAAUUUAGAAAAGUGAUGGAACAUUCUGCAUGUGGGUGUAUUUAAUUAUCUGGCAGAUGUUCAUAUUCCUACAGUGUGAAACUUAAGGGUAAACAAUGGCCUUUCUGUUAGAAAUUCUAUUCGCACUUUUGUGUUUCUCCCCUUUUAGAGGUAGGUAUUUUCAAUUGCUUAGAGAAUAACAGUGAUGAUCUAACUAAUUCGUUUUGCAUUGUGUGUUUCCUAAGUGGUUAUAUAUAUUUUUUUGCUUGUUUUCAACUAAUUCUAACUUUCUUACUUGCAUUAUUCUUGUUCAGUAAUUGCAUCUUCAUAAAAAAUGAUAUGAAUGGAAAUAUGAUUUUAUUUUCUAGAUUUUAAAAUAAUGUUAGAAAAAUGGUCUUUUAAAGUUCUGUGAUAUAGCCAUACCUUAAUUCUAAUUUUAUGAGGUAUUACUGAUCCAUUUUAGCAAAGGUAAACACAAAAUGAUAAAUAUUAUUUUAUCCAGCAAAGAAGAUGAAGUGAAAGUUCUUUAAGGACUAUCAACCAGAACAUAAAAUUAUUGAAUACUGAUGUUCUGAUACAGUUUCAUGGUCUGUAUUGUUAAUAAGAAACAGAGAGAAGCAGUGAGUAUAUUUAUUGUGUUACUUUAAAUUUAGGCAAAAGUAUUUAAUCCCAAAAAAGUGUGAAAUAAUUUUAUACUUAUUCAGUCUAAUCAUAUCUUUGAGAUGGUAUUUUCUGUUGAUCUCAUUUGUGUGUGGUCAGUGGUAGCAAGGUAUCUGAUACCUAUUGUGAUUUCUAAUGGGCACUCCUGUCAGCGUAACUUUGCCCAUGUAAGAGCUUUGAGCGCUUUGCUGAUGGUGAAUGUAAUGACUGACAUUUCUGUCAUGUAGCUUCUGGAACGUUCUUAGGAGAUCCUUCAGUUGAGUAUAUGGAUAGUAUAUAUGCUCUGGGUCCAUGUUAUUACUACUAUCCUCUUCCCCUUGAAAACAUUCCUUUCCAUUCACCUUUCAUCUAAAGAAGCUGCUGCUACAUUUGGAAAGAGGAGACAAGGUUAGGGCUAGGUGAUUUCUGAGUAAGUGUUGAAGUUUUGUUGUUUCUACAACUGUUUUAUUUUGUUAAUGUGCGUCAUAACUUAAAAUGAUGUAAAUGCUAAUUAAACCAAUUGGCUUGAUGAAAGAAGCUUGCAGAUUGCAAAAAGAAAGUCUUAUGAAUAGAUGUUUAGAAAUACAAAGGAAAACUGCCAUACCACAAUUUGUGCUCCAAAAUUUAUUUUGUGUUUCUUUGAAUAGAAUUUUUUGUUUUGCUUAUUUAAAUAAUAAAUGGAAAAAAGCUUGUCAACAUUUAGAUUAAACUGAAGAAAUAUCAAUAAAGGUGAGUUGUAAUACACAUGAGUUUUUUAUUUGAAAAAUAUUAGAAGUUGGCUGGCAUGUGUAGCUAUUAAAGCUUACCAGAUGAGUUUUAUGGCAUGUUAUCAAAAUACGAGGUAAUUUGGAACAACUUUGUUACAAUCAGAUCGAACUUGCUUUAAUUAAGAACGACCCAAACACAAAGCCUUAUGUGCUGGGGAGGAAAGCCCUCUAUCUGCCAAUCUUCUUCACCUACACCAAGUACACUGUGCAAGUGGAUGCUAAGAUAGGGCUUUUCCAAGGCCUGAACCCCUGGCUGAUGUCCAGUGCCCUUUCCACUGUGACCUGGGGUAGCUUGAAGAAGGUUUUCCCUCUAGAUGAGAUUGAGCAGGUUUCCAACAAGGAUGAUAUGAAGACUUUGCUGAAGAAAGCUGUGAAGGAGACCUAUGAGAUGGUGAUGCAGUGCGUGUCCGCAUGUUGGCCCACCCGCUGCAUGUCAUUUCAGUGCGCUGCAUGGUCCAGUUUGUGGGAUAGGAAGCCAAAUACAGUGGUGUGCUGAGCUCCAUUGGGAAGAUUUUCAAAGAGGAAGGGCUGCUGGGAUUUGUUGGAUUAAUCCCUUACCUCCUUAAUUUGUUGGGCAAUGUGGUUUUUUUGUGGGGCUGUAACCUGCUGGCCCACUUCAUCAGUGCCUACCUGGUGGAUGACAGCUUUCGCCAGGCCCUGGCCAUCCGGGGCCACACCAAGUAUGUGAUGGGGAUCGCAGUGAGCAUGCUGACCUACCCCUUCCUGCUAGUCGGUAACCUGCAGGCUGGGCUCCCCUGUUACGCCUCGGUGUUCAAAUCCUGGAUUCACUACUGGAAGUACUUGAGUAUAAAGGGCCAGCUCUUCUGAGACUCCAACCGGCUUCUCCAUUGGGUGUCAUCAGGAUCAUGCUUCGCCCUGGAGUAACUUGAAUCAUCUAAAACAUGGUCUCAGGACCUGGGCACCAACAGUGAGGCCUGACCGUCUUGGGAUACCUGCAAGAUGACUCCAACCCAGCAACAACCAGGUGUGUUCCAGCCCAGCCGGGCUUCAGUUUCCAUAUUUGCCAUGUGUCUGUCCAGAUGUGGGGUUGGGUAUGGGUGGGGCUGCACCCAGUGGAUUGGGUCACCUGUUAGACCUGGUGAAGGUGAGGAGAGAUGGGGAUUUGGCACAAUCUCUGUACCUCCUGGAUUUGCUGAGUCUGUCUUGUGCAGAAGGCCAGAGAAUGGCAUGUGGGGGCCCAGGUUGGACAGGGAAAGGCUAAUGGGGUCAGACCACACCCUGUCUACCUCUCCAGUCAGCCCAGUGCAUAUCCUGCAGCUCAGCUGGGAGCAUCAUUCUCCUGCAUUGUAAAUAGGGUGUGAUUCCCUGGCACACGGCCAUCAUCAUGUCUAGGCCUAUGCUAGGAGGUGGAUGCCAGGCCCUGCCUGCAUUUUUCUCAGUACUGCUCUUCUGAUAUGAGGGCAGCUCCUUCCUCUGGAUGGGAAAUCAUGUGACUACUCAGAAUAUGUUCUCCUCAUCUAAUGCCCAAAUGGUGAUGCCUUGCGUACAGGAUCUGGUUACCUGUGCAGGUGUGAAUACCCAGAGGUUGGGCAGAUCAGCAUUUCUAGUCCUACCCAGUUUUAAAGUUCGUGGUAUGAUUUGACCCCAUCUCCUGCAAAUAUAAGUAGUGGUGUUGAAAAAAAAAAAGAAUUCCCUGGGUUAGAAGGAAAUAAAGAUAUUUUUACAUAUAGGUCCAAUUUAAGGAAGAUCCAUAGAGGAUCAAGCUUCAGAAUGGCUUCAUUGACUUGAGGAAGUAAAGCUAUUAAAUAUAAAGGGUGUAUGGAAUGAGAGUAUUCACUUCUUUCUGACUAGAUGAAGAGACUGACUAGAUAAAGUGUAUAGAUAGACUUACUAGAUGAAGUGUAUAGAACCCACACCCUCCCAGGCCAGUGGUCUGCGAGAGGUUCUGGAUGAAAGGUUAAGAGAUUGCUUGCUGCUCUUGUCUUUCCACUGAUUCUACUGGUUAACCUGACACUCACCCUAUUGGUGGAUGAAGUGUACUGUAUACACUUUCCCAUAAUAAACCUGGUGUAUCAUUUCCCUUGUUCAGCUUCUUGAAGAUUAUGCGUUACAUAGUAAUAACUAAGCCUCUAUAUACAACUCCUUGAUAAUUUUACCAAUACACAACUUACAUUAAAAAGGUAUAUGAAGGUCUACAUUUUUAUACUAAUGCUAUUUAGAUAUGCUGUUUUAUAGUUGACUAUAUUCAUCCUUCACCCCAAUCUACUACUCAUCUAUUGACUUGCUUUCAAAUAUUUUCCCAGAAAUUAAAAAUUCUUGCCUCUCCUAUGCUGAUAGCCCCCAGGAAUACAGUAUAAGUUCUGAAGAUGAAAUAUAAAUUGGUCUUAUGACCUGUUACAGUGAGGGCUCCAAGAAAAGUACUCCUUUCAGUAUUUACACCAUUGGGUAGGCCCUUCCUGUUUGUGGCAUAAGUCUGA